AUUCAGGUCUCUCUUCUCCAUGAGGAGGAGUCAAUGCAAAACUCAGAUGUCUUCCACCUCUACUUAUCUGACUGCAGAGAGGAUGACAGAGAACAGUGGACACACAGUUUAACAUGAUGGACUAUAGGACAGGACUGCUGCUUUUAACUAUCUGCUGGGCAGGUGUUGAUGGUCAGACUCUGACAGAAUCUGAACCAGCUAAUAAAAGACCUGGAGAAUCUCACAAAUUGACCUGUACAGCCUCUGGAUUCACAUUCAGUAGCUACUGGAUGCACUGGGUUCGACAGGCUCC